rnacentral:rRNA from 1 species
ACGGAAGGCAGCAGUGGGGAAUAUUGCGCAAUGGGCGGAAGCCUGACGCAGCGACGCCGCGUGGGGGAUGACGGCCUUCGGGUUGUAAACCUCUUUCGGCCCCGACGAAGCGUGAGUGACGGUAGGGGUAGAAGAAGCACCGGCCAACUACGUGCCAGCAGCCGCGGUAAUACGUAGGGUGCGAGCGUUGUCCGGAAUUAUUGGGCGUAAAGAGCUCGUAGGCGGUCUGUCGCGUCGGUCGUGAAAACUUGGGGCUUAACCCUGAGCUUGCGGUCGAUACGGGCAUGACUGGAGUUCGGCAGGGGAGACUGGAAUUCCUGGUGUAGCGGUGAAAUGCGCAGAUAUCAGGAGGAACACCGGUGGCGAAGGCGGGUCUCUGGGCCGAUACUGACGCUGAGGAGCGAAAGCGUGGGGAGCGAACAGGAUUAGAUACCCUGGUA